UUUUAUGGAGAGUUUGAUCCUGGCUCAGAGUGAACGCUGGCGGCGUGCCUAAUACAUGCAAGUCGAACGAUGAAGCUUUUAGCUUGCUAGAAGUGGAUUAGUGGCGCACGGGUGAGUAAGGUAUAGUUAAUCUGCCCUACACAAGAGGACAACAGUUGGAAACGACUGCUAAUACUCUAUACUCCUGCUUAACACAAGUUGAGUAGGGAAAGUUUUUCGGUGUAGGAUGAGACUAUAUAGUAUCAGCUAGUUGGUAAGGUAAUGGCUUACCAAGGCUAUGACGCUUAACUGGUCUGAGAGGAUGAUCAGUCACACUGGAACUGAGACACGGUCCAGACUCCUACGGGAGGCAGCAGUAGGGAAUAUUGCGCAAUGGGGGAAACCCUGACGCAGCAACGCCGCGUGGAGGAUGACACUUUUCGGAGCGUAAACUCCUUUUCUUAGGGAAGAAUUCUGACGGUACCUAAGGAAUAAGCAC
rnacentral:rRNA from 1 species